GGAGGGAAAAGCAACUAGGGGCUCCCAGGGGGUCUGAAGGCAACAACAGCAGAGAAGAAGGUGAAACUGACCCUCACAGGGAGAUAGAACUCAAUGUGGAAUGAAUGAAUAAGGAACGAAUGAGUGAAACGGCAUGUGGGAUCUUGCCUCCCUGACUGAGGAUUGAAUCUGCUCCCAAGGCAUUAGAACGGGAAGUCUUAACCACUGGACUGCUAGAGAAGUCCCAUCUGCUGACGUCUUGCAGCCCCCACACUCCCUCUCUGUGGGGGGCAGAACAACAGCUUUGAGAUGUCCACCUCCUAAUCCCCAGAAUCCAUGAAUAUGGUACCUGACAUGGCAAAAGGGUCAUUGCAGGUGUGAUGAAGGGUUCUGAGAUGGGGAGAUUAUCCAAGUGGACCCGAUGUCAUCAUAAGGGGCCUUACAAGGGAGAGGCAGGAAAAGAAGAUGCGGCAGCAAAACUGAGGUUGGUGUGAUGCAACGUAGCUGUAGACCAUGGGCCCAGAAUGCAGCAACUUCUAGAAGCCAGGAAAGGCAAGGAAACAGACUGUCCCCCUCAAGCCUCUAGAAGGAAUACAGCCCUGCCAGCUCCUUGACAGUGAGAGA
ensembl:lncRNA